ACACUUAACCUGGCAGUGGAGAUACCAUGAUCAGGAAGGUGGUUUUCCCAGGGCAAGACUUACCAUUGCACUCCAGAUAUGCUGACCCCUAUGAUUUUCCCAAAUGUGGGAAACUUGACUGCAUAAUUGGGGUAAUGGGGGACUGCAUUUGUGCUCUCCCCUG